rnacentral:rRNA from 1 species
UACGGAGGGGGCUAGCGUUGUUCGGAAUCACUGGGCGUAAAGCGUACGUAGGCGGCUACUCAAGUCAGAGGUGAAAGCCUGGAGCUCAACUCCAGAACUGCCUUUGAAACUAGGUAGCUUGAACACGGGAGAGGUGAGUGGAAUUCCGAGUGUAGAGGUGAAAUUCGUAGAUAUUCGGAAGAACACCAGUGGCGAAGGCGGCUCACUGGACCGUUGUUGACGCUGAGGUACGAAAGCGUGGGGAGCAAAC